UUUGCUCAAAAAAACAUAUUUUUGCAUUCCCCAUAGUAGAAAACCUAAGUACUAGCAUAGACAAAAAGAAUUAAAUAUAAAAAGACCGUCAGCUGUGCUGCAGUUACCAUAGGUUCUGGCGCACACCGCUGGGAGCGCUAUGCAGUUACGGCCUACGCACUACGUAACUACAUGGCGCUCCCAUCAUUGUGUGCCAGAACCUAUGGUAACCACUGCACGGCUGACAGUCUAUAUUUAAUUCUUUUUGUCUAUGUUACUAGUUAGAUCUAACUUUAUUCAAAAUAUGCUUUAUGGAAAUCUUUAAGCAUAAAUCCAGUUUAAGACGAAUUGAUAGUCUGCAGGUUUGCUGCUUCAGGUGUAUUUUUGCUCUGGUACUUUACUCAUUUUGUAUGUUUAGUGCACCUUUUUCUGAUUUAUAGAUGCUGUCAGGAGAAAACAUUGAGAAACAUCGGCUGAGAAUAUGAAGAACUCAAUCAAGAAGUGGCUGCAGCAAGCCACACCCAGAUUGAUGAAGAGGUCUAACAGACAGCAAGCAACACCCGCUGCUGAAGAGUGUUCUGAUGACUGAAUACUGUACGAAUUGUAAUUUAAACCUGUGUAAAUAUUUUCAGAAUAUAAAAUGUUAAGUGCA